rnacentral:rRNA from 1 species
GGUUGAUCCUGCCAGUAGUCAUAUGCUUGUCUCAAAGAUUAAGCCAUGCAUGUCUAAGUUUAAGCACUAAACGGUGAAACUGCGAAUGGCUCAUUAAAUCAGUCAUAAUUUAUUUGAUGGUACCUUACUACAUGGAUAACUGUGGUAAUUCUAGAGCUAAUACAUGCCAAAAAAUCGCGACUUCUGGGAGCGAUGUAUUUAUUAGAUCCAAAACCAAUGGCCUUCGGGUCCCCUUGGUGAAUCAUGAUAACUGCUCGAAUCGCAUGGCCUUGCGCCGGCGAUGCUUCAUUCAA